rnacentral:misc_RNA from 1 species
UGAUGCUUAGAAUUGGGACUUCCCAAUUGAGGUCCCAGCUUUCAAUACCAAUCAGAUGACAAUGAGGGUAUUUGGAGAUGGAUAGUGCUACCCCCCAUUGUGACUGGCCACGGGCCCUCAAUGGCAUCAUAUGUACAAAUUAAAUAACCAUGCAUAUCAGUUAUCACCACUAUGAAUUUUAGUCAUACCCAUCACUGCCAAACAUGUGAAGAUGCAUCUGCUAUUGCUCUAAAUAUGAUGAUCACAUUGUACUACAUACUACACAUCCUCAGUUUACAAUACUCAAUAUACAAUGGCAACAAAAUUUUAAAAAUACGUCCACAAAAGUAUUGCACAUAUCAUCUCAGCUGAAAGCAUAUUGUCCCUUGUGACCGCAAACUAGAUAAAUGCUAAUUAAAAUUUAAAUUUAAAGCAAAGGACGUUCAAG